ACGACCGGCGCACGGGUGCGUAACGCGUAUACAAUCUGCCUCAUACUGGGGGAUAGCCUUUGGAAACGAAGAUUAAUACCCCAUAACAUCUUAGUAUUGCAUGAUACAUAGAUUAAAGGUUACGGUAUGAGAUGAGUAUGCGUCCUAUUAGCUAGAUGGUGUGGUAACGGCACACCAUGGCAACGAUAGGUAGGGGCCCUGAGAGGGGGAUCCCCCACA
rnacentral:rRNA from 1 species